rnacentral:rRNA from 1 species
GAUGAACGCUAGCGGCAGGCCUAACACAUGCAAGUCGGGGGGCAGCACAUAAAGUGGUUUACUACUUUUGGUGGCGACCGGCGGACGGGUGCGUAACGCGUAUGCAACCUGCCUCCAACAGGGGGAUAACGGAGAGAAAUUUCCACUAAUACCCCAUAAUAUCAGAAUCGGCAUCGGUUUUGGUUGAAAACUCCGGGGGUUGGAGAUGGGCAUGCGUUGUAUUAGAUAGUUGGUGAGGUAACGGCUCACCAAGGCAACGAUACAUAGGGGGACUGAGAGGUUAGCCCCCCACACUGGUACUGAGACACGGAACAGACUCCUACGGGAGGCAGCAAGGAGGAAUAUUGGUCAAUGGGGGCAACCCUGAACCAGCCAUGCCGAGUGCAGGAAGACGGCUCUAUGAGUUGUAAACUGCUUUUACAAGGGGAUAAAUCGGUGUACGUGUACACCGUUGAAGGUACCUUGGGAAUAAGGAUCGGCUAACUCCGUGCCAGCCGCCGCAGUAA